rnacentral:lncRNA from 1 species
GGGGGGGGUGUUGCGGGCUUGCACCCUCCUUAAAUUUGCAAAGCAUGGGUUGUUCUCAGCUUAAUAAAGAAUAUUCCGAUAAUUUUACCUCAAAUUUUUUUUAGCCUCGCUCUGCUCGGCGAAAAUUUAAGUUUGUGCCCUCCUUACCUAAAAUCCUGGAUCUGCCCCUCAUAUGGUUUAGGGGUGGGUAGCUCGACCGUUUCCAAGUUAUCAAACAGGAGGGGUAGAGUGGCCCAAAGAAUGCCACCUAUAUAUCAUAUGAUUUACUUACAUUUAGGUAUACAUAAUAUAGUUGCAUUAUUUGUGAAAAUAAAGAAACUUUCAGCUACUUUAAUUGACCCUUCAAAAUUGAGAAAAACAAAUAACCCUUCGAAAUUGCAGUAAUAUGUUACACUUUAAAACAUACCUGCCAAUUUUUCAAAAUCCCCAUGGGGGUUUUGCGUGCAAGAUGGAUGUCAGAGUCCUAAAAAAACCUUCUAGGGGGGCUUCAAAUACCUUUUAAUGUUGUUUUUUUUUUUUGCUUCUUCAUACUUUUAUAAGCCUUAAGUCAUUGCAAAAUUAAUUGUUUUGUUUAAAUUGAGGACAAAAUUGCUCUUUCAAAAUUUCAAUUUUGGAGCCUCCAUGGGGGAAAUCCCCCGCAAAUAGUGACAGUUGGCAGGUAUGUUAAAAGCAUCUCAUAUGCAUUAUCAUCAUUUAUCACUGAUAAAGAAAAUUUAAACUGUGACCAUGAACAUGUAUAUUGUUAGAUAUACUGUUCCCAGCUGUCACUUUG